rnacentral:lncRNA from 10 species
CAAGGACUGCCUGGCUUCCCUAUAAAUGCCAAGUGGAGCACCUCUAAUAGACGUUCUUUAUAUGCAAGUUGUGAAACGGACUUUAAAAUUUUAUAAAGAAAAUAAAAAAGAGAAAGAAAUGGAAAAGAAAAUUCCAACAGAAAUUCUUCAGUUGCUUGUUGCAUGCCUUUUUAGCAUGCCUUCUAAACAGCCUACCCUGCCACGUGCCAUGAUUACUGUGACCACAUCUUCGGAACCAGAAAACAGGAUACCUGGCCCAAAGCAUGCACUCAUAAAGCAGAGUGUUUUAAAUUCGGAAUGCCACAGAAGACAGAAGAUAACAUGCUCACUACACUUGUAGAGCAACACGCAGCCAGCCAUUUCCAGUGCAAAUUAUCUCAUUGCAUAGUGUGACAACUAAAGGUCAUGACUAUAAUACAAAUCUUGUUUUUCUUGUAAUCUAUCCUUCAGUUAAAUGUGAACUCCAGGAGAGCAAUGACUGUGGGUAUCCCGAGCACUGAGGUCUGUGACCAGCAUAUCAUAAACUGUAG